UACAGCUUUUGGCUAUGCCCAGAUCUUGACUGAAGUUGGAAAAGCAAAUCAUACCAUGCUGCUGUUAGAACUACAUCUUCAGGUGGCCAUAGCCUGGCCGGCUCCAUCCACGGAGCUCGUGGUGGUACAACAGCGACACUCACAGCCUCUGAAUUCACAUGUAAAAGGAGCAGGAACUGGUGCGGCCAGCGUAAAAGGCAGUUGUGGGACUCCCGCAAUGACUGAAAGUACAAAGGUUGUAAAGGAGGGAAGGUGAAGAGCACUUGCUCCCCGGGACCACGCCUUGGCAUGAGGCAGAUCUACCCCCACCCUGCUUACUGCCCUCUGUAUCAGCUACCUCCUCCCUCCCUCCAGCUCACCGAGGUAAGUCGUGAAGAAGAGGUCGGCAGGGCCACGGGCAGCGGUGACAGCUCAAUCCUCCGGGGCACAGGACGGCUGUGCUGGUACUUGCGAAGGGAGGUGCCCUCUCAGCCUUCCACGCUUCCGCCUGUCUUACAG